GCACAUUCAACCCAGAAAUCUUCCAAGAAGCCAAAUGAGGUGAAAACAGGACAUGUCAACUGAGAAUGCGAGUGAGUUUUGUUUGUUUGUUUUACAUUGUCAGUUGCCUUUCAUUUGCAGAACAUGCUGAAUGGAUGUGAUUUCCAGCUCUCUGUGAUUAUAAGUCUGAUUCAAUUCCUUUCAAGGCAUAAAAGCCUUUUCUUGCCGAGUUGUCUUUGGGAAUUCUUCACUUGAAGUUUAUUCUUUCAGUAUAAGGCUGCCCUGCCCAAGUGGGAGACCGAGAGCCUGCUGUCUCUUUUACACACAGCGACCUGUGUGGGGUCCUCCACACCCAGGAUUAAUGUUCUUCUUUUUGGACAUUUGAAUGGUGGUUUUCACCGUCAAUGGGCUAUGGUUUGUAACUGAAUAAUGGGAAAUGACAAUAGAACACUUGGGGCGGGGACUGGAGAGCUGAGGUCCUCUGACCCAGCCACCUGUAUUAUAUAAGAGAAAUCAGAACCCAGACUCCAGAGCGUGCUCCCAGAACCCUGGGGUCCUGAGAGGGUUAAGUGGAGGGGUGUGGGGGAAGAAGCUGAGCACAUCGAACCCCUCUUCCUGUUCAACUAGAGCAUCUCCAUUUUGAUAUAUUUUCAACUUUUAAAGUUUUACAUUUAUACAGAAAAGUGCACCAAUCACAAAUGCACAGCUCGAUGAACUUUUACAAACAGAACACAUCUGCAGAACCAGCCCAGAUCCAGAAACAGGGCCACCCCUCACUGCUGCCUUUCAACACCACCCCAGAAAGAAACCACUGCCCUGGACUCUCACAGCAUCUCAGUGAUACAUUUUAUACAUUCAGGCUCCACAUAGGAUUGUUUUAAACUUUUUAUUUUGAAAUAAUUAUAGAUUCACAGGAAGUUGCUAAGAGAGUACAGAGAAGCACAUUGAAUUUUAUAUUCAUUUUCAACGUUCAGAAACAAAAUUUUUAAGUUAAAAAACCGGUGGUUUAAACUAAAUUAGCAAAUGGACGGGUUUUGGAGCCAGGCCACGUGAGAUUGAGUCCACAUUCUUUCCCUUACCAGCACAUGACCCCAGACUUGUCCCCUAAUCAUCCUGAGCUGCAGAUGAGGCUCAUACCUCCUUCCUGCUAUUGGUGGGAUUAAAAUCAAAGUGAGACCGUGUGCACUGCAGGAGGUGCCCGGAGU
rnacentral:lncRNA from 1 species